rnacentral:lncRNA from 10 species
AGUUCAUAAAAGGGCCACUGUCCCAGGGCAGCCUCAGCUCCUGUUGGUUUCAACUCAGAAGGAGAAUGUUGUUGCUUGAGCCUCUUUUGAGCUUUAAAAAGGACAAGGAAAGGCACUGUACGGAGUGUUUUACUUUUGACUUUUUUUUCAUGACUACAAACUGUUGGAUAUUGAAAACCUUGCAUUUACUUGUGAAUUGCCAGUCUGUGUUUGCGUAUGGAGGAAGGUAAGAUUUGCAGGGCUGGAAUUAUUUUCAUUUUCCUUGUAAGUUUCUCCAGUACUUAGCUUUUCAUUGAGCAUUCUAUAUUUAUUUCUGUGUCAUUAUGUCAUUCUUUGGUGCAUUUUAUAACCUGUGAUGCUGAAAGCUGCCUUCCUUCACAUUGUGGGCUAGAGUCAGAUAGGGCAAUACAGUCACACAGCAUCCACCAGAAGUUAGUGCCAUGGAACACAGUCCUGAAUAAGCACACCAAUUUGCUACAAGAAUGAUCACAGAAAGACUGUGUAUAAUAGUAUCAAAGAAUAAUUCAAAGACAUAGGGUUAAUUAUUAGGGCACCAUUUACUUGAAUACAAGGGAAACCAAAAAUAGCUUUAUUUCAUAUAUCAGAGCCAAAAUAAGAAAUAGGAAAA